rnacentral:rRNA from 1 species
GAUGAACGCUGGCGGCGUGCUUAACACAUGCAAGUCGAACGGUGAAGGUGGGAGCUUGCUCCUACUGGAUCAGUGGCGAACGGGUGAGUAACACGUGAGCAAUCUGCCCCGAACUCUGGGAUAAGCACUGGAAACGGUGUCUAAUACCGGAUACGACGCGCGACGGCAUCGUCUGCGCGUGGAAAGAAUUUCGGUUCGGGAUGAGCUCGCGGCCUAUCAGCUUGUUGGUGAGGUAAUGGCUCACCAAGGCGACGACGGGUAGCCGGCCUGGGAGGGUGACCGGCCACACUGGGACUGAGACACCGCCCAGACUCCUACGGGGGGGAGCAGUGGGGAAUAUUGGGCAAUGGGCGAAAGCCUGACGCAGCGACGCAGCGUGAGGGACGAAGGCCUUCGGGUUGUAAACCUCUUUCAGCGGGGACGAAGCGAAAGUGACGGUACCCGCAGAAGAAGCACCGGCUAACUACGUGCCAGCAGCCGCCGUAACAC